rnacentral:rRNA from 1 species
UACGUAGGGUGCGAGCGUUAAUCGGAAUUACUGGGCGUAAAGCGUGCGCAGGCGGCUUUGCAAGACAGAUGUGAAAUCCCCGGGCUCAACCUGGGAGCUGCAUUUGUGACUGCAAGGCUAGAGUACGGCAGAGGGGGAUGGAAUUCCGCGUGUAGCAGUGAAAUGCGUAGAUAUGCGGAGGAACACCGAUGGCGAAGGCAAUCCCCUGGGCCUGUACUGACGCUCAUGCACGAAAGCGUGGGGAGCAAACAGG